rnacentral:rRNA from 1 species
GACGAACGCUGGCGGCGUGCUUAACACAUGCAAGUCGAACGGAAAGGCCUCUUUCGGGGGGUACUCGAGUGGCGAACGGGUGAGUAACACGUGAGUAACCUGCCCUUGACUUUGGGAUAACUUCAGGAAACUGGGGCUAAUACCGGAUAGGAGCUCCUGCUGCAUGGUGGGGGUUGGAAAGUUUCGGCGGUUGGGGAUGGACUCGCGGCUUAUCAGCUUGUUGGUGGGGUAGUGGCUUACCAAGGCUUUGACGGGUAGCCGGCCUGAGAGGGUGACCGGCCACAUUGGGACUGAGAUACGGCCCAGACGCCUACGGGAGGCAGCAGUGGGGAAUAUUGCACAAUGGGUGGAAGCCGGAUGCAGCAACGCCGUGUGCGGGAUGACGGCCUUCGGGUUGUAAACCGCUUUCGCUCAUGACGAAGCUUUGUGUGACGGUAGUGGGUAAAGAAGCACCGGCUAACUACGUG